rnacentral:rRNA from 1 species
CAAGCGGUGGAUGAUGUGGUUUAAUUCGAUGCAACGCGAAAAGCCUUACCCACCUUUGACAUGUACGGAAUUUGCCAGAGAUGGCUUAGUGCUCGAAAGAGAGCCGUAACACAGGUGCUGCAUGGCUGUCGUCAGCUCGUGUCGUGAGAUGUUGGGUUAAGUCCCGCAACGAGCGCAACCCUUGUCAUUAGUUGCUACGAAAGGGCACUCUAAUGAGACUGCCGGUGACAAACCGGAGGAAGGUGGGGAUGACGUCAAGUCCUCAUGGCCCUUAUAGGUGGGGCUACACACGUCAUACAAUGGCCGGUACAAAGGGUCGCAAACCCGCGAGGGGGAGCUAAUCCAUCAAAGCCGGUCGUAGUCCGGAUCGCAGUCUGCAACUCGACUGCGUGAAGUCGGAAUCGCUAGUAAUCGUGGAUCAGCAUGUCACGGUGAAUACGUUCCCGGGUCUUGUACACACCGCCCGUCACACCAUGGGAGCGGGUCUCGCCAGAAGUAGUUAGCCUAACCGCAAGGAGGGCGAUUACCACGGCGGGGUUCGUGACUGGGGUGAAGUCGUAACAAGGUAGCCGUA